rnacentral:rRNA from 1 species
AUGGCUCCGGAGGUGCUGCGGAGUGAACCUUCAACUGAAAAGUCUGAUGUAUUCAGCUAUGGGGUGGUCCUAUGGGAGCUUGUUACUCAGAAGAUUCCCUGGGAUACUCGCAAUGCAAUGCAGGUUGUCGGAGCCGUGGGUUUCAUGGAUGACAGACUUGAAAUUCCAACGGACACGGAUCCUCAGUGGGCAUCGAUGAUCCAGAGUUGUUGGGACAGUGACCCGCAACACCGCCCUUCGUUCCAAGAACUCCUUGAGAGGCUCCAGGUGCUGCAAAAGCAGUACACUGUUGAAGCGCAAACGGAGCGAAAAAGGGCUGGGAAAGGUGCUGGAAAGAUGAGCGCCAAAGAUGAGAGCUAG